rnacentral:rRNA from 1 species
CUGGAAUAACUCCGGGAAACCGGGGCUAAUGCCGGAUAACAUUUAGAACCGCAUGGUUCUAAAGUGAAAGAUGGUUUUGCUAUCACUUAUAGAUGGACCCGCGCCGUAUUAGCUAGUUGGUAAGGUAAUGGCUUACCAAGGCAACGAUACGUAGCCGACCUGAGAGGGUGAUCGGCCACACUGGAACUGAGACACGGUCCAGACUCCUACGGGAGGCAGCAGUAGGGAAUCUUCCGCAAUGGGCGAAAGCCUGACGGAGCAACGCCGCGUGAGUGAUGAAGGGUUUCGGCUCGUAAAACUCUGUUAUUAGGGAAGAACAAACGUGUAAGUAACUGUGCACGUCUUGACGGUACCUAAUCAGAAAGCCACGGCUAACUACGUGCCAGCAGCCGCGGUAAUACGUAGGUGGCAAGCGUUAUCCGGAAUUAUUGGGCGUAAAGCGCGCGUAGGCGGUUUCUUAAGUCUGAUGUGAAAGCCCACGGCUCAACCGUGGAGGGUCAUUGGAAACUGGGAGACUUGAGUGCAGAAGAGGAANGUGGAAUUCCAUGUGUAGCGGUUAAAUGCGCAGAGAUNUGGAGGAACACCAGUGGCGAAGGCGACUUUCUGGUCUGUAACUNACGCUNUAUUUGCGAAAGCGUGGGGAUCAAACAGGAUUAAUUCCCUGGUUAUUUCCACCCCCGUUAAACAAUAUAGUGCUAAUGUGUUUGGGGGGUUUCCGCCCCUUAUUGCUUCCNUCUUCUCGCAUUUAACCCACUCCGCCUGGGGAGUUCAACCGGGGUUUAAAUNCUCAAAGAAUUGAGAGGGACCCCCCCAAGCGGUGGAGCAUGUGGUUAAUUUCUAAGCACGCCAAAACUUACAAUUUUUAUCUUUCACCUNUUAAUUAUUUUCCUUGGGAAAAUAAGGGGGUU